rnacentral:rRNA from 1 species
UGCCGUGAANUCCUCUGGCUUAACUGGGGGCGUGCGGUGGGUACGGGCUGACUUGAGUGCGNUAGGGGAGACUGGAACUCCUGGUGUAGCGGUGGAAUGCGCAGAUAUCAGGAAGAACACCGGUGGCGAAGGCGGGUCUCUGGGCCGUUACUGACGCUGAGGAGCGAAAGCGUGGGGAGCGAACAGGAUUAGAUACCCUGGUAGUCCACGCUGUAAACGUUGGGCACUAGGUGUGGGGGCCACCCGUGGUUUCUGCGCCGUAGCUAACGCUUUAAGUGCCCCGCCUGGGGAGUACGGCCGCAAGGCUAAAACUCAAAGGAAUUGACGGGGGCCCGCACAAGCGGCGGAGCAUGCGGAUUAAUUCGAUGCAACGCGAAGAACCUUACCAAGGCUUGACAUGCACGGCGGCACUGCAGAGAUGUGGUGGCAUUUAGUUGGUCGUGUGCAGGUGGUGCAUGGUUGUCGUCAGCUCGUGUCGUGAGAUGUUGGGUUAAGUCCCGCAACGAGCGCAACCCUUGCCCUAUGUUGCCAGCACGUGAUGGUGGGGACUCGUGGGGGACUGCCGGGGUUAACUCGGAGGAAGGUGGGGAUGACGUCAAAUCAUCAUGCCCCUUAUGUCUUGGGCUUCACGCAUGCUACAAUGGUUGGUACAGAGGGUUGCGAUAUCGUGAGGUGGAGCGAAUCCCUUAAAGCCAGUCUCAGUUCGGAUUGGGGUCUGCAACUCGACCCCAUGAAGGUGGAGUCGCUAGUAAUCGCAGAUCAGCAACGCUGCGGUGAAUACGUUCUCGGGCCUUGUACACACCGCCCGUCACGUCACGAAAGUUGGUAACACCCGAAGCCCAUGGCCUAACCGGUUUGCCGGGGG